rnacentral:rRNA from 1 species
UGGGGAAUUUUGGACAAUGGGCGCAAGCCUGAUCCAGCAAUGCCGCGUGCAGGAUGAAGGCCUUCGGGUUGUAAACUGCUUUUGUACGGAACGAAAAGCCUCUCUCUAAUACAGGGGGGUGAUGACGGUACCGUAAGAAUAAGCACCGGCUAACUACGUGCCAGCAGCCGCGGUAAUACGUAGGGUGCAAGCGUUAAUCGGAAUUACUGGGCGUAAAGCGUGCGCAGGCGGUUUUGUAAGACGGUGGUGAAAUCCCCGGGCUCAACCUGGGAACUGCCAUUGUGACUGCAAGGCUGGAGUGCGGCAGAGGGGGAUGGAAUUCCGCGUGUAGCAGUGAAAUGCGUAGAUAUGCGGAGGAACACCGAUGGCGAAGGCAAUCCCCUGGGCCUGCACUGACGCUCAUGCACGAAAGCGUGGGGAGCAAACAGGAUUAGAUACCCUGGUAGUCCACGCCCUAAAACGAUGUCAACUGGUUGUUGGGGAUUUAUUUCUUCAGUAACGAAGCUAACGCGUG